UUGGCUUAGAAGCAGCCAUCAUUUAAAGAAAGCGUAAUAGCUCACUGGUCGAGUCGGCCUGCGCGGAAGAUGUAACGGGGCUAAACCAUGCACCGAAGCUGCGGCAGCGACACUGUGUGUUGUUGGGUAGGGGAGCGUUCUGUAAGCCUGUGAAGGUGUGCUGUGAGGCAUGCUGGAGGUAUCAGAAGUGCGAAUGCUGACAUAAGUAACGAUAAAGCGGGUGAAAAGCCCGCUCGCCGGAAGACCAAGGGUUCCUGUCCAACGUUAAUCGGGGCAGGGU
rnacentral:rRNA from 1 species